rnacentral:tRNA from 1 species
GCAGCGAUGUCCGAGUGGUUAAGGAGUUGGACUUGAAAUCCAAUGGGAAUUGCCCGCGUA